UACGGAGGGUGCAAGCGUUAUCCGGAUUCACUGGGUUUAAAGGGUGCGUAGGCGGGCUGGUAAGUCAGAGGUGAAAUCUCCGGGCUUAACCCGGAAACUGCCUUUGAUACUAUCUGUCUUGAAUAUGGUGGAGGUAAGCGGAAUAUGUCAUGUAGCGGUGAAAUGCUUAGAUAUGACAUAGAACACCCAUUGCGAAGGCAGCUUACUGCGCCUAUAUUGACGCUGAGGCACGAAAGCGUGGGGAUCAAACAGG
rnacentral:rRNA from 1 species